rnacentral:misc_RNA from 1 species
GAAAUGCGAUAAGUAGUGUGAAUUGCAGAAUUCAGUGAAUCAUCGAAUCUUUGAACGCACAUUGCGCCCUAUGGUAUUCCGUAGGGCAUGCCUGUUCGAGCGUCAUUUACACCUUCAAGCCUUGCUUGGUGUUGGGUGACUGUGACCCCUUUGGGGCCACUCGCCUUAAAGUCAUUGGCGGCCGGUUCGUUGGCUUUGUAGCGCAGCACAAUUGCGUCCUCGAAGCCGCUGGACCAGCUCCCAGAAGCUAAUUUUAAAUGUUUGACCUCGAAUCAGGUAGGGAUACCCGCUGAACUUAAGC